UACGUAGGUGGCAAGCGUUGUCCGGAAUUAUUGGGCGUAAAGCGCGCGCAGGCGGUUCCUUAAGUCUGAUGUGAAAGCCCACGGCUCAACCGUGGAGGGUCAUUGGAAACUGGGGGACUUGAGUGCAGAAGAGGAGAGCGGAAUUCCACGUGUAGCGGUGAAAUGCGUAGAGAUGUGGAGGAACACCAGUGGCGAAGGCGGCUCUCUGGUCUGUAACUGACGCUGAGGCGCGAAAAGUGCGGGUGGGACAAACGGAUU
rnacentral:rRNA from 1 species